ACUGAUAUGAUAUGGAAAUACCAGCUCAGAAGAUGUGGUGAGCUUUGAUAAUUCAGGAGUUGACUGACAGAAGGAGGACCUCAUUUGGGCAGAACUUCACAAACCCUAAGGAUUCAUCUCUGGACAAUGAGCAAAAUCUUCACUGGCUUCACUUUAGCUCAGCACCUAAUGCAGUGUUUGGUUCUGAAAAGCCUCCUUUGUGUGUGAGGAACUGUUCUGAAAUCUCCCGACAAGAAAAAUGGCUCCCAAAACCCAGCUGUGUCUCUGGGUGCGUAUGCCCAGCAGCAGGCAGUGUGUCAUCGCUGUGUCAGUUCUAUGGUGUGAUGUGCGGAACUGGUACUGGUAUGUAGACAUCAAGGCUAGUUCUUCGGCUCUCCCAAAGGCCAAAGAUAUGUAUUUAAAUAUCAUUUAAAUAAACCCCCUUAUUGCUUAAAUCACC
rnacentral:lncRNA from 1 species